rnacentral:rRNA from 1 species
AUUGAACGCUGGCGGCAUGCCUUACACAUGCAAGUCGAACGGCAGCACGGGUGCUUGCACCUGGUGGCGAGUGGCGAACGGGUGAGUAAUACAUCGGAACGUACCUUAUCGUGGGGGAUAACGCAGCGAAAGCUGUGCUAAUACCGCAUACGCCCUGAGGGGGAAAGCGGGGGAUCGCAAGACCUCGCGCGAUUAGAGCGGCCGAUGCCUGAUUAGCUUGUUGGUGGGGUAAAAGCCCACCAAGGCGACGAUCAGUCGCUGGUCUGAGAGGACGAUCAGCCCCGCUGGGACUGAGACACGGCCCAGACUCCUACGGGAGGCAGGAGUGGGGAAUUUUGGACAAGGGGGGCAACCCUGAUCCAGCAAUGCCGCGUGAGUGAAGAAGGCCUUCGGGUUGUAAAGCUCUUUUGUCAGGGAAGAAACACCGGCUCUAACACAGUCCGGGAAUGACGGUACCUGAAGAAUAAGCACCGGCUAACUACGUGCCAGCAGCCGCGGUAA